GGUCCCAUAGUUCAACGGAUAGAAUAGAUGUUUCCUAAACAUUAGAUAUGGGUUCGAUUCCCUUUGGGACCACAA
rnacentral:tRNA from 3 species